rnacentral:rRNA from 1 species
UGCGGGUGCUAUACAUGCAGUCGAGCGGACAGAAGGGAGCUUGCUCCCGGAUGUUAGCGGCGGACGGGUGAGUAACACGUGGGUAACCUGCCUGUAAGACUGGGAUAACUCCGGGAAACCGGAGCUAAUACCGGAUAGUUCCUUGAACCGCAUGGUUCAAGGAUGAAAGACGGUUUCGGCUGUCACUUACAGAUGGACCCGCGGCGCAUUAGCUAGUUGGUGAGGUAACGGCUCACCAAGGCGACGAUGCGUAGCCGACCUGAGAGGGUGAUCGGCCACACUGGGACUGAGACACGGCCCAGACUCCUACGGGAGGCAGCAGUAGGGAAUCUUCCGCAAUGGACGAAAGUCUGACGGAGCAACGCCGCGUGAGUGAUGAAGGUUUUCGGAUCGUAAAGCUCUGUUGUUAGGGAAGAACAAGUGCAAGAGUAACUGCUUGCACCUUGACGGUACCUAACCAGAAAGCCACGGCUAACUACGUGCCAGCAGCCGCGGUAAUACGUAGGUGGCAAGCGUUGUCCGGAAUUAUUGGGCGUAAAGGGCUCGCAGGCGGUUUCUUAAGUCUGAUGUGAAAGCCCCCGGCUCAACCGGGGAGGGUCAUUGGAAACUGGGAAACUUGAGUGCAGAAGAGGAGAGUGGAAUUCCACGU